GUGGUGCUGUGGCCAUCCCCUCCUGGGGGAAGUUCUGGCUGGCUGUCCUGAAUGUUUACAGCUGGGAAGGCCUCAAUACCCUGUUCCCAGAGAUGUGGCUGUUUCCUGACUGGGCACCGGCACACCCCUCCACACUCUGGUGCCACUGCCGGCAGGUGUACCUGCCCAUGAGCUACUGCUACGCCGUUCGGCUGAGUGCCGCGGAAGACCCGCUGGUCCAGAGCCUCCGCCAGGAGCUCUAUGUGGAGGACUUCGCCAGCAUUGACUGGCUGGCGCAGAGGAACAACGUGGCCCCCGACGAGCUGUACACGCCGCACAGCUGGCUGCUCCGCGUGGUAUAUG
rnacentral:misc_RNA from 1 species